ensembl:lincRNA Gm34333 predicted gene, 34333
CACCUUCGGUGCUGAUUUUUCUCAGCCUCUGAAGUGAACAGAGCUACAAUCUCCUGUGCAAUCUCGAGGGCAGGUGUGUUUCAGAUUUCAGAAGAUUUGCAGGUUCCUCGGAAGGCGAUGUGGUUCAGGCUAGGAAGAUGGCUUCAGGGUAAGGUGCAAACUCAUGGCUGCCUAGAGCAACUUGACUCCAAUACAAGGAAGAACCAUCCUGAGGAGGAAAAAAAUGAGAUGCUGGCAAGCAGAGAAGCAAAGACAAGCAGAGAUAAAUCAGGUUUCAACACAGGACCACACACGUCUCAGCACACUGCUGCCUUCGCCCAGCCCUGCCCACUCACUUCUUUCUCCUUAUUUCCCAACCAUGCCACAGAGAGUGAACUCCAGGCUUAAGGAACAGCUUAGGGGCAGGGCACACUACCAUCAAUGUAAGACUGGAUUCAGGUUCCACCCUUAGCUCUGGGGAAAACUUGGACAAACUCCAUGGCUGAGUAAAUUAAGCCAGUAAGGUCCAAGUGCAUGCUGUUGCCAUUGGCUUGAAGGGCAUCCAGCUUGUCCUGUGAAUUUGCUUUUCCAGAACUGUACAACCAAUGAGAGGCUCCUAAAAUUUAACCAGUUGGUUUGAGCUGUCUUUUGUUAAACUGCUUUUGUGUAUAUGAAACCAUUGACCGCUUU